AAAGCUCAGGAGCGACACGCCCCUGUGGCAAUCGAAUAAAUCCAUCGAUUAGUUUUUCUCGUUCGUGUAAAGUUCCGUCGUCGUGAGAGCCGAAGCAGAUCGACCCAGUCCAUCAGGCUAGUUACGAGCCAGCUUCUACGUACGGUUCCGGCUAGACGUGUGUGUUUAAGGACAAGGCAGGAAAGGUUAAUUUGGCCCUUGGUAUGGAGGAACAAGCAAAACUUAUCUUAAAGAAGUGCGAUGGACUUCCCCUUGCAAUAUCAACAAUAGGUGGAUUCCUGGCCACUAAACCUAAAACUGCUGUUGAAUGGAGGAAGAUGCAUGGCCGUAUUAGUGCUGAGUUGGAGAUCAACCCAGAGCUUAGGACUAUAAAGAAAGUCCUUAUGAGGAGCUAUGAUGGCUUACCCUACCACCUCAAGUCAUGUUUCUUAUACAUGGCCAUAUUCCCGGAAGACUACGCAAUUAAGCGCAAGCGUUUGGUGAGGCGAUGGAUUGCAGAGGGUUAUUGCAAGGAGAUGCAGGGCAUGACAGCUGAAGAAGUUGGUGACACCUACUUUGAUGAGCUUUUAGAGAGGAGUAUGAUUCUGCCGGGAGAAGGUGUAAACCAUCAUAGUGGAAAAGGUGAUUCUUGUCAGCUUCAUGAUAUCAUUCGUGAAAUAUGCAUCUCGAAGGCUAGGGAGGAGAACCUUGUUUUCACACUUGAGGAUGGAUGUUGUUUGAGCAGUACACAAGGUCCAAUACGUCAUCUUGUCAUUAGCAGCAAUUGGAAAAGAGAUGAAGUUGUGUUCGGUAGUAUGCUAGACUUGUUGCAAGUGUGAUCGCUGACCGUGUACGGAGAGUGGAGACCAUAUUUCAUCUCUGAGAAGAUGAGGUUUAUCCUAGUGCUCGAUUUGGAGGACACAUUACGGUUUAGAGAGCGCCAUCUUGAUAAAGUUGGGCAGCUCCAUCACCUCAGAUACCUCUCUAUAAGAAAUUGUCGUUAUUAUUGGCACCUUCCCAAUUCUAUUGGGAAUUUGAGCCACCUCCAAACAUUGGAUAUCAAAGGCACGUGUAUAGUUGAACUGCCAACAACUAUCAUCAAGCUUCGCAAGCUACAACACCUCAUAACUGGUUUUAAUAGUAGAUUAGGGAAGGAGGAUGCUAUUAUUGAGCUCGUUUGCAAUUGGUGGAGUAUGUAUGACAUCUCGUCCGGGUUCCAAGCUGAAGCAGGUCUGUUUAAGAGAAGCUGUAGAUAUUUGCAAUACAAGGGAGGUGUGGCUGUCAAAUUAUAUAGGAGACGUUCAGAACUUGGUUUGAACAUGCACGACUUAUUCAACCUGUCCAUCUUUAAACAUGGGGCUGGGAGUGAUGUUAAAGCUCCAAAAGGGUCUGGAAAAUUGACGUCCCUGCAAACACUGGGUGUUGUCAAUGUUUCAAGCGGAAAGGAAAAGAUCCUAAAGGAGCUCACUGCACUUACCCAGCUGCGUAAGCUUGGUGUGACUGGUAUCAACAAGGGAAACCAGAACUCUCAACCAACUUUGUUCUUUGACAGUGCAUGGCGAUGAUAUAGAUGGUUGUUUGGGUGGGGAUUGUUGCCACCAAAACAGCUCGAGAGCCUCAAGUUGGUCGGGCCCCUAGGCAAAGUGCCAGAUUGGAUGCACCACCUACAGAGUCUAUCAAAGUUGAACUUACAGGACAGCAAAUUGGAUAAAGCUGUUGACAUAGAAACCCUUGGGGGUCUACCAAACCUCGCAGUUUUACGACUGAGGUUCUUCGCAAUUGACAUAGAUGAUCUGAAUUUCCUAGGUUCAUCUUUCCUGAGCCUCGUGGUGCUCGAGCUUUACUUCGUGUUCAUGCUCAAUCUUUUGAAGUUUGAAAAGGACGCAAUGCCUAAGCUCGAGCUGCUACGAACUGAUAAAUACCUGGAGAUGAAGGGGCUACAGUUUCUCAGGAACCUCAAGGAAAUUCGGAUGGAUGGUGAAUACAUCGAUGAUAUGAAGACAGAGUUGCAGAAGCAGUAUCUGGAUCAUCUGUUAGCAAUAAUCUUGUCCUAGUCUAAUUAGCAGUCAACUAUAGAUUAGAUUAUUAGUAUCUCUAGUUAGCACUAGCUGGUAGUGGUUGGUGUACUAGUUAAGAGUCCGAAUGUUUAAAUACGUGUACUGCUAAGAGUACAAGCCAGAGUAGGAGUUGUGUUAGGACUUGUGCGUGUCCUAGUCAAAGUAGACUUAGGAGUUUAAGUUUGGGUCGGUUUGCUACUUGCUGGCUGGGAGCGGAUAGCUCCCACAUAUACACGGGCAGGCCUUGGCUAUUGUAUCGUGGCGAGAAAACAGAAAAUAAAAAGAGAAACAAAGGGCACGACAAGGGCCUUUGGCUAUCAGUUUUUUGUGCGCGUGUUGGUCAUACUGUGAUGUGAUCGAUCCUAUGGAAGAGUUCCAAGAGCAUCCAGAUCUCAAGAACGUCAGUUUGAAGCUGAAUAGCUGAUUAAGUACCUACUUCUCCUAUGUAAUGAAUAAGGCAUCAAGAGUAGUAUGCGGAGCAUCAGUAAGGCAUCUCCUUGCAGCCAUAUUUGCUUGAAUUAUUACCUUUCUUCUCCUUGUAAUAUGUUGCCGUACAUGUCUGCAUCUCUGGCUGGGUUAUGUUACUUCAAUUUGUAUCUUAAUUUGGCUGCUUUACUUUU